rnacentral:rRNA from 1 species
GACGAACCGUGCGAACGUUGUUCGGAAUCACUGGGCUUAAAGGGCGCGUAGGCGGGCCCGCAAGUCAGGGGUGAAAUCCCACGGCUCAACCGUGGAAGUGCCUUUGAUACUGCGGGCCUUGAGGGAGGUAGGGGCGUGCGGAACUUCCGGUGGAGCGGUGAAAUGCGUAGAUAUCGGAAGGAACACCGGUGGCGAAAGCGGCGCGCUGGACCUCUACUGACGCUGAGGCGCGAAAGCUAGGGGAGCAAACGGG